GAUGAACGCUGGCGGCGUGCCUAAUACAUGCAAGUCGAGCGAACGGACGAGAAGCUUGCUUCUCUGAUGUUAGCGGCGGACGGGUGAGUAACACGUGGAUAACCUACCUAUAAGACUGGGAUAACUUCGGGAAACCGGAGCUAAUACCGGAUGAUAUUUUGAACCGCAUGGUUCAAAAGUGAAAGACGGUCUUGCUGUCACUUAUAGAUGGAUCCGCGCUGCAUUAGCUAGUUGGUAAGGUAACGGCUUACCAAGGCAACGAUGCAUAGCCGACCUGAGAGGGUGAUCGGCCACACUGGAACUGAGACACGGUCCAGACUCCUACGGGAGGCAGCAGUAGGGAAUCUUCCGCAAUGGGCGAAAGCCUGACGGAGCAACGCCGCGUGAGUGAUGAAGGUCUUCGGAUCGUAAAACUCUGUUAUUAGGGAAGAACAUAUAUGUAAGUAACUGUGCACAUCUUGACGGUACCUAAUCAGAAAGCCACGGCUAACUACGUG
rnacentral:rRNA from 1 species